CUUAGUUCUAGGUUGCUUCUGGCCUUGGUUAGUUUCCAGCCAUGGUUACUUGUCUUGCUUAUUGGUGCUUUGGAAACUAGUUUGAGCCCUGUCAGUUUUGUAGGAGCCCCUCAAAUAUUGGAACAGUGCUAUCGUGUCCCCAUAUUUAAGUGACUGGCCACUAGGACUCCAAGAUCCCUCUCACAGUUACUGGCAUUAAGCCAAGUUUCACCUAGUCUAUACUUGUGCAGUUGGUUUUUCUUACUUAACAGUAUAACUUUAUUUUUAUCUAAGUUGAAUUUCAUUUUGUUAGAUAGGGCUCAGUGUUCAAGUCUGUCAAGAUCUUUUUGGAUUGUGAGCUUGUCUUCUGGGAUGUUGGUGAUUCCUGUCAGACUCUAUGAACCUAGUAGCUGCUUUGAAGAGUUGUGAAAUGGAUCCUUCUUGCAAUUUGUACUUUGCUGUUAAAAUGAGAGGAGUGGGUGCUAACUUACUACGCUAUGCAAGUAAGAAACAUCUUUGCAAUGGAACAAGAGCCAGGAAUGAUUUCUUGAUACAGUCAAUUGAAUCAGUGAGUCAUGGAGCAAGAAGCAGAAGUAGCCAACAGUAGGCAACAGCAAGACAUGUUUUCUGGUUCUGAUUUCCUUUUGCAUCUUUUUGUCCCUCUGAGAGACAAUUAUAACGUCUUAAUCAUUGCAGAAAGUACAUGAUGUGGUCCUUUUUUUAAAGUUAGGACGUAAAGUCUUCUACCGGGUUCAGUCCCGGUAACUUCAUGAAGCUGUCAUGCAAAGGACAUAAAAGUAGCUCACCACUGCCUCCUUGUGCAUUAUUUUUUUUUCUAUUUCAAAGUCACUCCUGCAGCCCUGUUCUUUCCUGGCAAUCCAUCCAAAUCCUCUUUUGGCCCAACCCAGCAUAGCUUCUAAACUUACACAAGGUCAGUCUGAUGCUGCCCCCUGCUGAAACUCUGGUUAGUUCUUCUAAAAAGAAGAACUACAGCAUUAACUUCUUAGUGUGGCUUCACAAGGAUGAGG